UUGACCUCGGAUCAGGUAGGAAUACCCGCUGAACUUAAGCAUAUCAAUAAGCGGAGGAAAAGAAACCAACAGGGAUUGCCCUAGUAACGGCGAGUGAAGCGGCAACAGCUCAAAUUUGAAAUCUGGCUCUCGGGCCCGAGUUGUAAUUUGUAGAGGAUGCUUUUGGCAAGGUGCCUUCCGAGUUCCCUGGAACGGGACGCCAUAGAGGGUGAGAGCCCCGUCUGGUUGGACACCGAGCCUCUGUAAAGCUCCUUCGACGAGUCGAGUAGUUUGGGAAUGCUGCUCUAAAUGGGAGGUAUAUGUCUUCUAAAGCUAAAUACUGGCCAGAGACCGAUAGCGCACAAGUAGAGUGAUCGAAAGAUGAAAAGCACUUUGAAAAGANAGUUAAAAAGCACGUGAAAUUGUUGAAAGGGAAGCGCUUAUGACCAGACUUGGGCUUGGUUGAUCAUCCGGCGUUCUCGCCGGUGCACU
rnacentral:rRNA from 1 species